UACAAGAAAAGGUAUAGUUUUAAAAAAAAUUAAUUAUAUAUUUAUCAAGAUGACACAAUUAAAUCAGGACAGAAAAAAUGUUAAUACUUUUAAAAAUUUAUUAAAUAACUUUAAACAGUUCCUAGGUCAAGUGAAAAGUUUCAUUCUAGUACCAUAAAAGAUGAUGAUGAAAAUUUUCAAGAACCAGUUAUUAAAAAUCUAAAGCUUAAUGCGGAAGAAAAUCAUAUGAAGGUUAUGAAUAUGAAUAUACUAAAUUUGAUAGUUGGAGAGGAUUAUAAUUGUAUAAACAAAAAAGAUGAUGGAGUUAAGACACCAGAAAAAGCAUCAAAAAUGCUAGAGCCUGAUGACAUUCGACCUUUUGGUGCCCCGCCGGAGAGGACGGGCAUGGCUCAAAAUGCCGUUUAUGGUACAGAGGUGGAGAUAGUUGCAAUGACAACUAUGCUCUAGACAAAUAUUUUAAUACAUACUAUUUAUAAAUGGGCAUACUAUAUGCCCAUUAAAAAAUUAAGUAAUAUUAAAAAAUUUAAUGUAAAUAUUUAUUUAAUAAAUCAUAGCGAACAUAUUGAUCGCAUAAUUAAUUUUAAUUAAUAUUUAUAUCGCAUAUAGCAUAUAUUAUUUAUAUCGCAUAUAUUAUUAAUUGAUUUUUUUAUCU